rnacentral:rRNA from 1 species
GCAUACGGGGGGCAGCAGUGGGGGAUAUUGCACAAUGGGGGGAACCCUGAUGCAGCGACGCCGCGUGAGCGAAGAAGUACCUCGGUAUGUAAAGCUCUAUCAGCAGGGAAGAAAAUGACGGUACCUGACUAAGAAGCCCCGGCUAAAUACGUGCCAGCAGCCGCGGUAAUACGUAUGGGGCAAGCGUUAUCCGGAUUUAUUGGGUUUAAAGGGUGCGCAGGCGGAGGUGCAAGUCAGCGGUCAAAUUGCGGGGCUCAACCCCGUACUGCCGU